rnacentral:lncRNA from 1 species
AGCAGCCAGGCCUUCCCUUCUCGCUGCUUGGCAGGGCGGACCUGGCCUUGUGCCAGCUGCAGCACGUGGAGCCACAGCGCCAAUCCUCUGACAGAGAACCCGGCCUGUUAUCUAACUUUGCAAAGGGAAGUUCUCCCCCAGUCUGGGAGCCAUAACCAGGGCUGCCAGAUGAGAACGGUGAGAAGAGCUCCACGCCCACAGCAAGCGCACUGUGAUUCCCCAAGACAUUGACUGUGGAUGGGUGAAGUCACACACUUGCAUGUCCUCAGCCUUCCAAGAGUGGAGCCAGAGAGGUCACACUUAGGCAGAGAUGUCAGGCUGCAGGAUCUAGAACAAGCCAGAAAUUGAUUCUGAGGCUCAACUUCAAAACUGAACACAGUAAGCUCCGUUAGGCUCGCUUCUGCAGCUCAGUCAGACACCCUGGGGCGGAUGAUAAGCUCUUGGUUUUCUGUCCUGUGCCUGAUCUCACAGAGAUCCAUGGCUGUUUUCCCAAAUCACAUCUUACACAGAGCUGGAAAGGUCCCCCACGUCUGCUGCCCCAAGUCUUUUCCUCCUGAGUGAUCCUCCCCAGAUGAAUGAAAUUCCAUAUUACAUAGUACAUAACCCACAGCUCCAGAACUCACUCUGGAACCAGGCAGGCACUGAACUUGUGUUCUUUCUGUCUUGGCCUCUCAAAUGCAGCCAUUUGAGGUUUGUCGGACCAGGCUAGGCCAGGCUUCCUUUUUUUUCCCCUCCCAGUAUAAGAAAAGGGCCUUGUGCACAUUGGGCAAAUGUCUCUUGUUGUUGUUGUUGUCAUUUUUAAAGAUUAUGAUAGCUAUGGAUAUGUGUGUGUGUAUAUAUAUUACACAGACACACAAACACAUAAAUGUAUAUAUUUUAAUUGUGUCUAGAGAGUUGGCUCAGCAGUUAAGAGUACUUCUUGUUCUUGCAGAAGACCCCGGUUUGGCUCCAGUAGCUACAUGGUAGGUACCUACCUGGGUAGCUCACAACUACCCUAACUCACUUCUAGGUGAGCCAACUCUCUUUCAUGGUCCCUGCAGGCACCAGGCACACACAUAGUACACAUACACACGUGCAGGCAAACACGCAUACACAUGAAAAUAAAACCUAUUUUUAAUUAUU